rnacentral:rRNA from 1 species
GUACGUAGGGCGCAAGCGUUAUCCGGAAUAUUGGGCGUAAAGAGCUCGUAGGCGGUUUGUCGCGUCUGCCGUGAAAGUCCGGGGCUCAACUCCGGAUCUGCGGUGGGUACGGGCAGACUAGAGUGAUGUAGGGGAGACUGGAAUUCCUGGUGUAGCGGUGAAAUGCGUAGAUAUACGGAGGAACACCAGCGGCGAAGGCGGGUAGCUGGGCCAACACUGACGCUGAUGUGCGAAAGCUAGGGGAGCAAACGGG